GCUAUGAUGAUCAUUUAUAGUUUUGACAGUGAUGAAAAAACGUAAACCUCUAAGAAGUUCUGAGCUC